UAGCACACCUAGGUUCCUAACUGAUGACGAAGAACUGACAGAGCAGCCAUCAAGUCUUAGAGAGUGUUCUCGGUUAUUAUAUGCAGAGUUUUUAGGUCCUAGAAUG